rnacentral:lncRNA from 1 species
AUUCCAUUAGCUUCCUUUGGAUGAUGAUUCCAUUCGAGUCCAUUCGAUGAUGAUCACAUUGGAUUUCAUUCCAUAAUUCUACUCGAUUCCAUUUGAUGAUGAUUCCAUCUGAUUCCAUUUGAUGAUUCCAUUUGAUUCCAUUAGAUGAUGAUUCCAUUCGUUUCCAUCCGAUGAUGAUUCCAUUUGAUUCCGUUCAAUGAUUAUUCCAUUUGAGUCCAUUCGAUGAUUCCAUUCGAUUCCAUUUGAUGAUGAUUGCAUUCGAGUCCAUGGAUUAUUCCAUUCCAUUCCAUUAGAUGGUUCCAUUCGAGUCCAUUCGAUGAUUCUCUUCGAUUGCAUUUGAUAAUUCCAUUUGAUUCCGUUUGACGUUGAUUCCAUUUGAGUCCAUUCAAUGAUAAUUCCAUUCGAUUCUAUGCGAUGAUUCCAUUCCUUUCCAUUUGAAGGUGAUUCCAUUCGAGACCAUUCGAUGAUUGCAUUCAAUUCAUUCGAUGACGAUUCCAUUCAAUUCCGUUCAAUGAUUCUAUUAGAUUCCAUUUAAUGAUGAUUCCAUUCGAUUCCAUUGGUGAUGAUUCCAUGCGAUUCCAUUAGAUGAUGACUCCUUUCAUUUCCAUUCAAUUAGGAUUCCAUUCGGUUCCAUAUGAUGAUGAUUCCAUUGAAUUCCAUUUGAUGACAAUUCCAUUCAAUACCAAUUGAUUAUGGUUAUUUUUGAUUCCAUUUGAUGAUGAUUACAUUCGAUUCCAUUUGAUCAUGAUUCCAUUUGAUUCCACUCGAUGAUUCCAUUCGAUUCCAUUCAAUGAUGAUUCCAUUCGAGUUCAUUGACUAUUCCAUUCCAUUCCAUUCGAUGAUUCCAUUUGAGUCCAUUCGAUGAUUCUAUUCGAUUGCAUUCGAUAAUUCCAUUCGAUUGCAUUUGAUAAUUCCAUUUGAUUCCAUUUGAGGAUAAUUCCAUUUGAGUCCAUUCGAUGAUUGUUCCAUUCGAUUCUAUUCGGUGAUUCCAUUCGAUUCUAUUUGAUAAUGAUUCCAUUCGAGACCAUGCGAUGAUUCCAUUCAAUUCCAUUCAAUAAUGAUUCCAUUCGAGUCCAUUCAAUGAUUCCAUUCAAGUCCAUU